rnacentral:rRNA from 1 species
UCGGGAAUAUUGUGCAAUGGAGGAAACUCUGACACAGUGACGCCGCGUAUGGGAAGAAGGUUUUCGGAUUGUAAACCAUUGUUGGAGGGGAAGAAACAAGACAGUACCCUCAAAGAAAGCUCCGGCUAACUACGUGCCAGCAGCCGCGGUAAUACGUAGGGAGCGAGCGUUAUCCGGAUUUAUUGGGUGUAAAGGGUGCGUAGACGGGAAUUUAAGUUAGUUGUGAAAUCCCUCGGCUUAACUGAGGAACUGCAACUAAAACUGAAUUUCUUGAGUGCGGGAGAGGAAAGUGGAAUUCCUAGUGUAGCGGUGAAAUGCGUAGAUAUUAGGAGGAACACCAGUGGCGAAGGCGACUUUCUGGACCGUAACUGACGUUGAGGCACGAAAGUGUGGGGAGCAAACAGG